GUCAGAUUCAACAUUAUGCAAGAUUAUUGUAUAGGAGCAAUUGCCAAUGAUUUGAAAUAAAAACCAUGGAAGAAAAAUCAACAUUACUGUUCUAUUAAGCUGUUUCUCCCCCCUAGGAGUUAAGAAAAGACCUCUCACUAUUCUAGCAGUAUAGCAUAUUUGUUCAAUUCCAGAAAGAUGGGAACUUAGUCUAAAAAUGACUCUUUGAGCAACUCAUAUUUUUCUGGAACUCUAUGUAAAAGCAAAUUAAUAUAAAUAUAUAUGUUUUGAGAUACUGGGACAUCACACUUUUUUUUAAUCUUUCAGUUGAAUUUCUUCCCAAAUAGAGAAUAUUUUUAUUCUUUGAUUCUUCUAGCCUAUCUGUAUUUUAUGAUCAGAUUUUGCUAAAACAGACCUGAAGAUGCACCUGGAUAAUUAGGUAAUUGAGUAUAAUUUGGAAAGUCAGUGCUUAUAUAAACCAUGCUUAAUAAUGGACUAUUUUGAUUCUGUCUUGACCCUAGAACUUAAGUCUCAGGAAGUUAUUAUUUAUGAUGAUGUAGACCUGAGUGAAAAAGAGUCAAAAGAUGAAGAUAAACUGAAAAUGUGGAAGCCCAAGUU
rnacentral:lncRNA from 1 species